GCCGGUUUGAUAGGGAUACUCAUCAAAUAAUACUGAAAGCCGAGCAAGCUUCUCUUGUCAAUGGCGGGCCACAUAAAUCCCUUGAAGGGGCUAAGCUGCAGAGCCGGUGGAUUACAACGACGGGGAGCCCUCAAAUGAUAUUCACACUCGGAGUUUCAUCACAUCACCGGG
rnacentral:sRNA from 1 species